GUGGGGAAUUUUGCGCAAUGGGGGAAACCCUGACCCAGCAACGCCGCGUGAAGGAAGAAGGUUUUCGGAUCGUAAACUUCUAUCCUUGGUGAAGAUAAUGACGGUAGCCAAGAAGGAAGCCCCGGCUAACUACGUGCCAGCAGCCGCGGUAAUACGUAGGGGGCAAGCGUUGUCCGGAAUGAUUGGGCGUAAAGGGCGCGUAGGCGGCCUGGUAAGUCUGGAGUGAAAGUCCUGCUUUUAAGGUGGGAAUUGCUUUGGAUACUGUCGGGCUUGAGUGCAGGAGAGGUAAGCGGAAUUCCCGGUGUAGCGGUGAAAUGCGUAGAGAUCGGGAGGAACACCAGUGGCGAAGGCGGCUUACUGGACUGUAACUGACGCUGAGGCGCGAAAGUGUGGGGAACAAACAGGAUUAGAUACCCUGGUAGUCC
rnacentral:rRNA from 1 species